AUAUAGAAUGAGAAUAAAAUCAAAGAUAAGUGAAAUAUCUGCGAUGAUUAUAGGAUUGAAAUCACGACGUCUAACUUAACGUCGGUAUCAAAGUACGAUGCAACGCCUCGAUUCAAAUUGCGAUCUUUUCAAGGUGGCUAUAUAGCCAGCGGGUAGAACACAAUCUUUGCUCUAUAUAGUCUUUGAUAGUUCUGAAUAUAUCCAAUCGAUCCCGUUAAUCCAAUCUAUUGCUUUAUUGUUAACUAACCUUUCGUUAGACUUAUUAUACUUAUACGAUUUGAUUCGAUUAAACUAUAGUCGACCCGUUAGUUACAAAGUCUACUUUAGAGAACUUAAGUCGUGUUGUUAGUUUUGUAUAUACAUAUGACUCUUUUCUACAGGUACAUUAUUGACGCGACAAUUGAGCGGCAUAUCGACAUCAAGAGCUUUACGUAGGUGUCCUGGAGGCAUAACUUCGAAUUCGUAGCCAACCAGUUAUUGGCUCGUCUCGAAAAAGCCAUGAAAUUAUUAGUGCGAACGUUGAAUCUCAUUUAGUUGCUUCGUUUUUUCCACAUAGAUUUUCCAUUUCUUUUUGGUGUCACAGUGCUAAUAUUGCUGCAGGUUGUUGUGCUUUUGUAUAUUUAAAUUAAAUGCAUUUGUUGUUUUGUCACUCAGAGACAGAAACAGCGGAAGAACUAGAUUCGGGUUAGAAGAUAGCCAAAUAAUAGGCUAGUGGAUAUAAUUUAAUGAUUUUUCAAAAAAUCAGUGAUACAAAUUUGAAAAUUCCUCGAAGCCUAAAUGCUAAAAGCUCAUCCUGAUAUAUCAAAAGCAUGCUUUCUGCUUUGAAAAGAACGACUUAGAAAUUUGAUGAAAGGCACAGAAUUGCCGAUUCGAAAGCAGUUGUGUUUUGCAUUUGAAAAAGCAAUAUAUUUUUGUUUUAAUAACAUCUAUUUAAUCAACACACACAUAACAUAUCGGCUUUUUUUUGCGUUUUUCAAUACACUUGCGUUCAAUUGAAGUGAAUUACUUACGUCCAGUAUGAAGUAAGCGAACAGAUGUCACAGUCAAAAUAUAGCGUAUCACUAUCCCAAAUAAAUGGAAGGUCCAAUCAAAAAGCCUUAAGUACGUUUUUCUAAUUGUGUUAGAAGAAAUCGCUUUCUAAUCAAGGUAGUAUACUAAGAAUGUUGGGCGUCAACUUGAUCUUAAGUUCUUUUUCGACGAAGGAUAAGAUAUUAACAGGUCCCAGUCUUCUAUCUAGAGAUUUGGAAAUCUGAAUUUGGAGGAAUAAUCAGCAUUUUUUUUUUGUAAUGCAAAGAGUACUAAAGAUAUAUCCAAGUUUCCAUUGAUAGUUUUACAUUCACAAAGGGUGCAUAUUUACUCGAGGCAAAUGUUCAAAACAUUGUCUUUAUAAACAGUUUAUAUAUAUAAUUAAAUAACUGUUCAGGAACGUAGAAACAAACAACCUUUAACAAGUUAUUUUCUUUUGAUCUUUUAGUUCUAAGUAUGGCGAAACAGAAUAGCUCAUAUCUGGGCAAUAAUAAUUCCGCUAAGCGAUUGCAAAUAUUGCACUAAUCUACUACUGAAGUUUUAAACAGCUAACAGUGGGUAACGAGGUAAGCGAUUUUAUCAAAGCUUGUGCAGACAUCAAUAUUAUGUCGCUGUAACUUCAUGAACCGUCGUACCGUGAAGACCAUCAUUGCCAUCACGGCGUUAUGCUGGUGCUCAGACGCUCGACUAUGAAAUGACAGAAUAUAAAUUUGUAACGUAGACAAAGAUACUUAGCACGCUAUAACAAUACCAGAACAUUCUAGUCAGAAUCAGUGACCCAGAUAACUGCAUAUGCAAGUAGCUAGAUCCACCUCCGAUUCGGCCAUCGUAAUCCGCGAUAGGUAUUUCCUACAAUCGCUAUUUCUUAUAUGAUCAAAGUAAUUAAGCUUACCACGAGUUUACUGCACUUAUACAAUGUGAUUUGCUUUGGGGCUUAUUUACAUUUAAGACAGACCUUCACUAUUCUGCGAGACUAACGAUGAACUACAUUAUCCCGUGAAGAGACAUUCAUCUCAUAACUAAUAUCUUUCCAUAUCGACUGUUUCGUUUACAUCGAGAACGAUUCAUAAUAUGUGCACAAUAGAUACAGAUGAGAAAAUUUGACCGAGUUACGAUUUUCGCAUGAUCUGACUUUCAUGCAUUUUGCCUCCUAAAACCUGGAUAUUUUUCAUUUAUCAAUAACACGGUAAGCUUAAAACCGCGGAAUGUAGUCGAGAUAUGAAUGUUCGAGAUUGCAUAGCUUCAGAACGUUUGCUUCAAAUAUUAUCUCAACAGAGACUCGAAAUGAAUGAUUGUUGAUAGAAUGAUUCGGCUCUGGUUUCACUCGCACUGCGGGUUUGACAUUCGACUAGAUAGAAUCCUAGAAUAUCUCUCCAAAGUAAUAUCGGCAUAGAACAACUUGCAGAACGACGUUUUUGUCGUCAGUACCCUCACAUACUAUGUAAAAGCCUGGCCGUAAUGCUACCGUCCGAGGCCAAUCCGUAAUCACUUCAACUAGAUAGGUCGCAAUAGCAUUGACAAACGGCAGUCUAAAUCGAGACAGAACUAACCAAACCGGAUUGUAGCUCUCAUAUUGUAUAGUUGUGUUAUAGAGCUAAAAAUACGGCAUGCGGCUACACGGCUGCAUUGUCAGCUCCUACCAUUAUAUAAAAGAGACAGACCCCCCUAUUAUAUUCCACUAAAUGUGUGAGUCUUCACAACGAUCAUGGUACCGCAGAUGGCCGUCUAAAUGAUAGAAAAGCCGAAAGCCGGACUGCAGGGAUUGGCCAGGUCAAACCGAGGCAUGUGGAGUAGUUCAGCGACCAAGAAAACGGAAAGGUAUCCGAAAGUGGCGCAAAAUAGCAGAAUAUGGUUUGCUGCGACAUCGGAGCUCCGAAAAUAAUCAGGAGCAGCUUUUGAUCACAUGUUCUACAGCGCGAGUAUAGAGCAGCUUAAGAGCUACUAGUCGUUCAUCAGAGGCAUAUUUUUUUAAUCAAUCUCCGAUGUACGUGACAACGAACUUGCCAACCGAUGCUGGUUAUCUUAAGGGGACAUGUUUUCGUUAUGCACCUGAUACUGUGAGCAGAGCACGGAUUUAUUACAUCAAACGCAUCAUUGUAUUACCGAAAU